AGGUAAAGGAGCAGGAGUGAGAUGUACUUGGAUGAAAGCUAAAGAUGGAGCGGCAGACUCUUAGAAGAAACAGCAGUGCAGAACCAAGGAAGAUUGCUCUAAGAAAGGACCAGUUGUACUUCGUGGUGGAGGAGCUGCUGAAACUUGGGAAUCUGGGAGUAGAUAACAAAUUUGUAUCCUCUGUAGGCAAAAGAAAAACCAUCACAUUUACAGCAUUUGAUGAAGGGUGUGCUGAUAAUGAGAAGAUAUGAGGAAAAGCUCUUCCAGCCUGCAGGACAAGUCGUUCUGUGUGUUUCACAUCCAUAUCUACAUGACAGCAUGUCGUGGUUAAGCUCAACUUCCAGAACUUCUCCUGGCCCUAUAAUUAGAUCCCCAAGAGAUUCAGCUGAUCUUUGGAAAGGUAGCAAGGAAUCUUUUCCUUAACAGCAGCGUGUUAUGAAGUGUUCAGCCGGUCUUUUGUGUUCCC
ensembl:lncRNA